rnacentral:rRNA from 1 species
AAUCAACGCUGGCGGCGUGCCUAACACAUGCAAGUCGAACGAGAUCUUCGGGUCUAGUGGCGCACGGGUGCGUAACGCGUGGGAAUCUGCCCUCUGGUUCGGAAUAACAGUCGGAAACGACUGCUAAUACCGGAUGAUGACGAAAGUCCAAAGAUUUAUCGCCAGAGGAUGAGCCCGCGUAGGAUUAGCUAGUUGGUGUGGUAAAGGCGCACCAAGGCGACGAUCCUUAGCUGGUCUGAGAGGAUGAUCAGCCACACUGGGACUGAGACACGGCCCAGACUCCUACGGGAGGCAGCAGUGGGGAAUAUUGGACAAUGGGCGAAAGCCUGAUCCAGCAAUGCCGCGUGAGUGAUGAAGGCCUUAGGGUUGUAAAGCUCUUUUACCCGGGAUGAUAAUGACAGUACCGGGAGAAUAAGCUCCGGCUAACUCCGUGCCAGCCGCCGCUGUAAGAC